rnacentral:rRNA from 1 species
CGGAGGGUGCAAGCGUUAUCCGGAUUCACUGGGUUUAAAGGGUGCGUAGGUGGGUCUGUAAGUCCGUGGUGAAAUCUCCGAGCUUAACCUUGGAAACUGCCAUGGAUACUAUAGAUCUUGAAUACUGUGGAGGUUAGCGGAAGUAUGUCAUGUAGCGGUGAAAUGCUUAGAUAUGACAUAGAACACCAAUUGCGAAGGCAGCUGGCUACACAAAUAUUGACACUGAUGCACGAAAGCGUGGGGAUCAAACAGGAUUAGAUACCCUGGUAGUCCACGCCCUAAACGAUGGAUACUCGACAUUUGCGAUACACUGCAAGUGUCUGAGCGAAAGCAUUAAGUAUCCACCUGGGAAGUACGAUCGCAAGAUUG